GCUCCUCGGAGUUUGGCGGUGGCGCCUCCAUGGGUCAGGACAGCCGCGCCACCGUGCUGUGAGUGUUUCCACCACUCCGAGGAGACAGCAUUCAGAGUUCUUGGCUAAGUCGGCCUUGUGAGGAGCUGGCGAUAAUUUGAUUCCAUCUCCAGGUUUUCUGUCACAUGAGAACCAUGAGCAGCUUUACUAAGGACGAGUUUGACUGCCACAUCCUUGAUGAAGGCUUUACUGCUAAGGACAUUCUGGACCAAAAAAUCAGUGAAGUCUCUUCCUUUGACGAUAAGGAUGCUUUCUACGUUGCGGACCCUGGAGACAUUCUAAAGAAGCAUCUGAGGUGGCUAAAAGCUCUUCCCCGUGUCACUCCCUUUUACGCAGUCAAGUGUAACGAUAGCAGAGCCAUAGUGAGCACCCUAGCUGCCAUUGGGACAGGAUUUGACUGUGCAAGCAAGACUGAAAUACAGUUGGUACAGGGGCUUGGGGUGCCUCCAGAGAGGAUUAUCUAUGCAAAUUGUAAACAAGUCUCUCAAAUCAAGUAUGCAGCCAGUAACGGAGUCCAGAUGAUGACUUUUGACAGUGAAAUUGAAUUGAUGAAAGUCGCCAGAGCACAUCCAAAGGCAAAGUUGGUUCUGCGGAUUGCCACUGAUGAUUCCAAAGCCGUUUGCCGCCUCAGUGUUAAGUUUGGUGCCACACUCAAAACCAGCAGGCUUCUCUUGGAACGGGCAAAAGAGCUAAAUAUUGAUGUCAUUGGUGUGAGCUUCCAUGUGGGCAGUGGAUGUACUGACCUCGAGACCUUCGUGCAGGCAGUGUCGGAUGCCCGCUGUGUGUUUGACAUGGCAACAGAAGUUGGUUUCAGCAUGUAUCUGCUUGAUAUUGGUGGUGGCUUUCCUGGAUCUGAAGAUACAAAGCUUAAAUUUGAAGAGAUCACCAGUGUAAUCAACCCAGCUCUGGACAAGUACUUCCCAUCAGACUCUGGAGUGAGAAUCAUAGCUGAGCCAGGCAGAUACUAUGUCGCGUCAGCUUUCACGCUUGCAGUCAACAUCAUUGCCAAAAAAACCGUGUGGAAGGAGCAGCCCGGCUCUGACGAUGAAGAUGAGUCAAAUGAGCAAACCUUCAUGUAUUAUAUGAAUGAUGGAGUAUAUGGAUCAUUUAACUGCAUUCUCUAUGAUCAUGCCCAUGUGAAGGCCCUGCUGCAGAAGAGACCCAAGCCAGAUGAGAAGUAUUACUCAUCCAGCAUCUGGGGGCCAACAUGUGAUGGCCUUGAUCGGAUCGUGGAGCGCUGUAACCUGCCUGAAAUGCAUGUGGGUGAUUGGAUGCUGUUUGAGAACAUGGGUGCAUACACCGUUGCUGCUGCUUCUACUUUCAAUGGGUUCCAGAGGCCAAACAUCUAC